GACGAACGCUGGCGGCGUGCUUAACACAUGCAAGUCGAACGGAAAGGCCCUGCUUUUGUGGGGUGCUCGAGUGGCGAACGGGUGAGUAACACGUGAGUAACCUGCCCUUGACUUUGGGAUAACUUCAGGAAACUGGGGCUAAUACCGGAUAGGAGCUCCUGCUGCAUGGUGGGGGUUGGAAAGUUUCGGCGGUUGGGGAUGGACUCGCGGCUUAUCAGCUUGUUGGUGGGGUAGUGGCUUACCAAGGCUUUGACGGGUAGCCGGCCUGAGAGGGUGACCGGCCACAUUGGGACUGAGAUACGGCCCAGACUCCUACGGGAGGCAGCAGUGGGGAAUAUUGCACAAUGGGCGGAAGCCUGAUGCAGCAGCGCCGCGUGCGGAAUGACGGCCUUCGGGUUGUAAACCGCUUUCGCCUGUGACGAAGCGUGAGUGACGGUAAUGGGUAAAGAAGCACCGGCUAACUACGUG
rnacentral:rRNA from 1 species